AGUUUAAAUUUGUCAGUGUGUCUGCUCCUCACUUUCCCUCUCUGUCUCCUCGACAGGAACAUUUGUAGUGAAUGUGACCCAGACCUCCUAUCAGGCAGAGGAGAACCACGACAUCACACUGGAGUGGACCUUCACAACCAGCACUCACAGUUCCUCCAACUCUCUUAAAAUCUUCUGUGAACUGUUAACUGAUCUCAGACCCUCAAUCCUGUUUCAUCUCCAUGAAGGAGUUGAGGUCCCAGAGUCUCAGGAUGAACAGUUUGCAGGACGAGUCCAGUGGGACAAAGAUGACCUCAGAGAAGGACGACUCAGGACUGAGGACUCGGGACUGUAUGUGUGUCGAGUAAUCACAAGUUAUGAGAGUAACUCUGGUAGACGUUGGCUCAAUGUCACUGCAGCUGCUGAUGAGCCCAAACCUCAGAGACCAACAGUGAGACCAGAACCAGAGAGUCUGGGAAACAUCUGGAUCCUCUACGCUGGACUGGCAGCAGCAGCAGCAGCAGCAGCAGCAGCAGCAGUUCUACUGAUUCUCUACCCCAAAUGCCACUUUGUCUUCCAUCCUUGUUUUACUAAAUCUACUGAUAAU